UACAGAGACCUCAAGCGUUAUCCGGAAUCAUUGGGCGUAAAGCGUACCGAUAGGUGGUUUUGAUAGUUUUGGGUAAAAGCCAGAAGCUCAACUUCUGCGUUUGCUCAAAAUACUUCAAGACUAGAGGGACAAAGAGGUGGCUGGAACGAAUGGUGUAGUAGUGAAAUGCGUUGAUAUCAUUCGGAACACCGAAAGCGAAGGCAGGCCACUGGGUGUCACCUGACACUGCUAGGACGAAAGCGUGGGGAGCGAAUGGG
rnacentral:rRNA from 1 species